AGUGAACGCUGGCGGUAGGCCUAACACAUGCAAGUCGAACGGCAGCACAGUAAGAGCUUGCUCUUACGGGUGGCGAGUGGCGGACGGGUGAGGAAUACAUCGGAAUCUACUUUUUCGUGGGGGAUAACGUAGGGAAACUUACGCUAAUACCGCAUACGACCUACGGGUGAAAGCAUGGGAUCUUCGGACCUUGCGCGAUUGAAUGAGCCGAUGUCGGAUUAGCUAGUUGGCGGGGUAAAGGCCCACCAAGGCGACGAUCCGUAGCUGGUCUGAGAGGAUGAUCAGCCACACUGGAACUGAGACACGGUCCAGACUCCUACGGGAGGCAGCAGUGGGGAAUAUUGGACAAUGGGCGAAAGCCUGAUCCAGCCAUACCGCGUGGGUGAAGAAGGCCUUCGGGUUGUAAAGCCCUUUUGGUGGGAAAGAAAAGCAGCAGGUUAAUACCCCGCUGUUCUGACGGUACCCAAAGAAUAAGCACCGGCUAACUUCGUG
rnacentral:rRNA from 1 species